GAUGAACGCUGGCGGCGUGCCUAAUACAUGCAAGUCGAGCGAACAGACGAGGAGCUUGCUCCUCUGACGUUAGCGGCGGACGGGUGAGUAACACGUGGAUAACCUACCUAUAAGACUGGGAUAACUUCGGGAAACCGGAGCUAAUACCGGAUAAUAUAUUGAACCGCAUGGUUCAAUAGUGAAAGACGGUUUUGCUGUCACUUAUAGAUGGAUCCGCGCCGCAUUAGCUAGUUGGUAAGGUAACGGCUUACCAAGGCAACGAUGCGUAGCCGACCUGAGAGGGUAAUCGGCCACACUGGAACUGAGACACGGUCCAGACUCCUACGGAGGCAGCAGUAGGGAAUCUUCCGCAAUGGGCGAAAGCCUGACGGAGCAACGCCGCGUGAGUGAUGAAGGUCUUCGGAUCGUAAAACUCUGUUAUUAGGGAAGAACAAAUGUGUAAGUAACUAUGCACGUCUUGACGGUACCUAAUCAGAAAGCCACGGCUAACUACGUG
rnacentral:rRNA from 1 species